rnacentral:tRNA from 1 species
AAUUAAUAUGUUACUUUGGCAGAAUAGUGCUUUAAAUUUAGAAUUUAAGAAUGUAAUUUAUUACAUGUAAUA